UACGUAGGUCCCGAGCGUUGUCCGGAUUUAUUGGGCGUAAAGCGAGCGCAGGUGGUUUAUUAAGUCUGGUGUAAAAGGCAGUGGCUCAACCAUUGUAUGCAUUGGAAACUGGUAGACUUGAGUGCAGGAGAGGAGAGUGGAAUUACAUGUGUAGCGGUGAAAUGCGUAGAUAUAUGGAGGAACACCGGUGGCGAAAGCGGCUCUCUGGCCUGUAACUGACACUGAGGCUCGAAAGCGUGGGGAGCAAACAGG
rnacentral:rRNA from 1 species